rnacentral:rRNA from 1 species
AGCAGGCGCGCAAAUUACCCAAUCCCGACACGGGGAGGUAGUGACAAUAAAUAACAAUACGGGGUUCUUUCGGAUCUCGUAAUUGGAAUGAGUACAAUUUAAAUCUCUUAACGAGGAACAAUUGGAGGGCAAGUCUGGUGCCAGCAGCCGCGGUAAUUCCAGCUCCAAUAGCGUAUAUUAAAGUUGUUGCAGUUAAAAAGCUCGUAGUUGAAUUUCGGGAUNGAANNGUUGGUCGUGCCUCGGUGCGCACUGGCAUUAUCGGUUCCUACCUUCUGAAGAACCGCGAUGUCAUUAAUUUGGUGUCGUGGGGAAUCAGGACUGUUACUUUGAAAAAAUUAGAGUGUUUAAAGCAAGCUUACGCUUGAAUACAUUAGCAUGGAAUAAUGAAAUAGGACGUUUGAUUCUAUUUUGUUGGUUUCUAGGAUCGACGUAAUGAUUAAUAGGGAUAGUUGGGGGCAUUAGUAUUCAAUUGUCAGAGGUGAAAUUCUUGGAUUUAUUGAAGACUAACUACUGCGAAAGCAUUUGCCAAGGAUGUUUUCAUUAAUCAAGAACGAAAGUUAGGGGAUCGAAGACGAUCAGAUACCGUCGUAGUCUUAACCAUAAACUAUGCCGACUAGGGAUCGGAUGAUGUUAAUUUUUUAAUGACUCAUUCGGCGCCUUACGGGAAACCAAAGUGUUUGGGUU